AUUUCUCUAUGUGCACUGAAGAAAGAGUAAUUCCUACAGACACACACUGUGUUUUGCCAAUCAGCCCUUCCCUUUGUUUUGACUACCACGUUUAUGCAAAAGACUCUCAAAUCAUGCUCCAGAAAUGAGUCUUCGGCUGCCUGUUUUACAUCUUCACCUGAAUAUCCUGCAGGCGUCCCAACUAAAAUGUUCAAAACCAAACUCAUGGUUGCCUUCCUCAAACCUGCUCAUCCCUUCGGUUAAAACAUAAUUGAUGACCCAGUCACCUCUGUGUGAAACUUCAAAGCGAACUUUGAUUCUUCCCUCUGUGGUGCCUUCUCUCAUCUAAUGAAUUGCCAAGUCCCACAGAGAUUCCUUUCACAAUAUUUAUCACAUCUGCCCAUCCCAUCUAUUCCCACUGCUACCACACUGGCUCAGUUCUUAUUUCCUCACUUCUUAUCUGGGCUAUUGAAAUGUUCUCCCAAUUAGUCUUCCCACCUCCAAUGCUCCUCUUGUUCCAACCAUCCUGUAUUUUGCCUUGCCCCAGGCUAAUCUUCCUAAUGAGUAAUAUACAUGUUAGGAUAAAGUUCAGCUUUCACCCAGCAGAAAAGAAAGAGCAAUGAGGGCAUGGCAUCUCUCUUUAAAAACACUUCCUAAAAGUCAUACACAUUAUUUCUCUUAUAUUUCAUCGAUAAGAAUUUAGUCAAAUGACCAUUCUUUUCUGCAAGAAACGUUAGGGAAUGUAAUUUUUGUUUUACACAGGCAUCCACCCAGUUAAAAAAUUGGAGUUUCUGUUACUAAGGAAACACAGAAAAAUGAUAUUGGAGGACAACUCCUUCAUAUCACUUCUUGUUCAAAAGCUUUCAGUGGCUCCCAGUGAAUUAAGAAUGUGUUCCUCAUCCUGGCAUUCGAGACCUACCAUGAUCUGGCCUCAGCCUGCUCUCUAGCCAUGUGCCCUCUAUGCCUCCUGCAAAAAUGGCGCUGUGUGCUCCUUCCACAUUGUUUUGCCUCUCCAUCCAGUCCCAGUUCAGAUACCACAUUCCUCCCAUAGCCUUUCUGAAUCCUCUUUGCACCAACUCUGCUUGCUGCUUGCAGCUUUUUAUGCUGUACCUGUGCACUCCAAAGCUGCAAUAACAGUCAGUCAACCCUCAAUUGGGAGUGGGGAACUCCCUGAACUACUAGACAUCGUGUGGUGCUGAGUGUGAGAGCACUGUUUGGGGGUGCCUUAUACUAUGCCACAUAUAUCUGUCAUUGAAUUAGCGAAAGGGUCUCUUGGGGCCUUUUAUCUCCAGAGGGCUGCCCUGUAGCCAUUCUGCCUACUUGUGAGGCAAACCAAGAAAUAGGUGUCCUCUUCUGGCCUCCGUGACAUUUGGUGGUAUUACUAUAUCUCUCUAUGAAAGGGUUCACUUUCUGCCACCUUUUUCCCUCUUUCUUCCUCUCCUUUUGCAUUUUUUGGUCUUUUGAUAAUUUUACAUGCCUCCUGUUUGUAGGUAUUUUGUGCAAAAAAAAAGUUGAUUCCUGUGUUAGACACCUUCCCCCACAGUACUUAUAUGUGUUUUCCCUGAUUUCUGGAUGCGUAAGUACUGAAUUAUAGCAACGCCUUACAAGUGAUCCAGCCUGACAGCAUUACCGCUACUGUCAUCUGAUCCCGUGAUAGGCUAAAGUAUUGUUCAGCCAAAAUUUAUUCCCUUGUUUCUUCCACUUAGAUAGGAGUUUACCUUCCCCAUUGCCUUUGAGCUUUGCCAUUUAGCUCCUUGGCUAGUGGACUAAGUGGAUGUGAUGCAAGCGGAGGCAUCAAAAUGUUUUCACACAAUCGCAUGUGGACUCCUGCAUACGUGUGACCCAGCAUGCCUUGGGUAGAUGCUGCCCUUUCAGCCUGGCACCAGAACAAAGACAGGAGUGUGCCUGAAUUUAGCCUGCAGCCCUGAUCAAACCCAGCUGCCUCACAGCCUAAAGAAGAACACCCCAGUCAACCCACAGACCCAUGCGUGAGAAAAAUAAAUGCUUAUUGAAACCCACUGAGUUCCGGAGUCAUGUGUUAUACUGCGUUAUUGUAGCAAUAACUGAGUAAUACAAAUGCUCACUUCAGCAUCUGUUCCAGUUAUCUGUUGCUGCAUAACAAACCAGCC
rnacentral:lncRNA from 10 species